AUUGAACGCUGGCGGCAGGCCUAACACAUGCAAGUCGAGCGGAUGAGUGGAGCUUGCUCCAUGAUUCAGCGGCGGACGGGUGAGUAAUGCCUAGGAAUCUGCCUGGUAGUGGGGGACAACGUUUCGAAAGGAACGCUAAUACCGCAUACGUCCUACGGGAGAAAGCAGGGGACCUUCGGGCCUUGCGCUAUCAGAUGAGCCUAGGUCGGAUUAGCUAGUAGGUGAGGUAAUGGCUCACCUAGGCGACGAUCCGUAACUGGUCUGAGAGGAUGAUCAGUCACACUGGAACUGAGACACGGUCCAGACUCCUACGGGAGGCAGCAGUGGGGAAUAUUGGACAAUGGGCGAAAGCCUGAUCCAGCCAUGCCGCGUGUGUGAAGAAGGUCUUCGGAUUGUAAAGCACUUUAAGUUGGGAGGAAGGGCAGUAAGUUAAUACCUUACUGUUUUGACGUUACCAACAGAAUAAGCACCGGCUAACUUCGUGCCAGCCGCCGCGGUAAAAC
rnacentral:rRNA from 1 species